UACGAAGGGUGCAAGCGUUACUCGGAAUUACUGGGCGUAAAGGGUGCGUAGGUGGUUUGUUAAGUCUGCUGUGAAAUCCCCGGGCUCAACCUGGGAAUGGCAGUGGAUACUGGCAAGCUAGAGUGCGGUAGAGGGUAGUGGAAUUCCCGGUGUAGUGGUGAAAUGCGUAGAUAUCGGGAGGAACACCAGUGGCGAAGGCGACUAUCUGGGCUGCAACUGACGCUGAGGCGCGAAGGCUAGGGUAGCAAACAGG
rnacentral:rRNA from 1 species